GCCCACAUGCGGUGAGUUUCUCAUAUUUGAAGAUACCUUUUAAAUCAGUCAGGAAGCCAAGUUUACAUCUGCAUUCUGUUUCAUGAGUUAAACUAUGUGGACAGCUCGUUGGGAGCACCGGGACAUUUCCCGGUGGCCUGGGGCUCAUUUUGACCUGCAGCCUGUCCUACACACCACUGAGGUCUACAGGAGUAUAGAGUAAAAGUAAGUGAAAUAAUCGCCUCAAGAUAACAACACACUGGUGUUAGAGAAAUAUUGUACAACGCCAACAUAACCGACAUUAUCAUCUACUUAUCUGCGCCAUUGCCACAGACUGUAAAAAGGUUGUUGCUGGUGUUGGUGGGUGGAGUGAACCAUCCUGUCCUCAAUACAAAAUCUUUACUGAACACGGUGACUUUGAAUAUGUCAACAAACCGGACAGGACGUCGUCGCCGGAUGAUAGCCUACAGGAGGGUCCCCACCACUGAUCAACUCAACCAUCUCCAUGACAACUGAGGAGGCAACAUUUACUGAUCAAGGACAUAAGAUGAGGUUGAAAGCUCUGAAAAAGCAGACAUGAUUGACUGCUUACACAACCCUGUGCUCCUUUGCAGCUGUGUGGUGUGGGAAUCUUCAAUAACAGGUACGCAAAGGACAUGGUCUUCUGUUACGGUAGCAGAACAUAUGACCUUACUGAUAAAAUAAAUCCAGGUUUUCAAGCACUGAUGGAUCAUGACGUUCACCUAAUGCAUGACAACGAAUGAUCUUCAGCGCAUCAGUAUGAGGUAAGGUAAAGGAAACCUGAAAUCUUGUGCUGGUUGAUUUUACGGUGAGAACAGAAAAGGUUUCACUUUUUGAGGGAACUGUCAAAGAAUCAAAGCAGCAGUGUAUGUAUGUUAAAUAUGUACAUAUGUGUAUAUACGUACAUGAAGCGGCAGCCAUGAAAAAGAAACUUUCCCAGUAGACACUAAGAGUACGACUUUAUAAGUGAAAGGUAUA